rnacentral:rRNA from 1 species
UACGAAGGGUGCAAACGUUGCUCGGAAUUAUUGGGCGUAAAGCGCACGUAGGCGGCUUGGCAAGUCGGAUGUGAAAUCCCUCGGCUCAACCAAGGAAGUGCAUCCGAAACUGCCGAGCUUGAGUACUUAAGAGGAUCGCGGAAUUCCCGGUGUAGAGGUGAAAUUCGUAGAUAUCAGGAGGAACACCGGUGGCGAAGGCGGAUCUCUGGGCCAUUACUGACGCUGAGGAGCGAAAGCCAGGGGAGCAAACGGG